ACAUUUCACUCACUGACCAUUUUGACUCUGUCUUCGGCCACAUCAAAACAACAAACCAUGGCGGCGGCGUCUCUCCGAUCUGUAAACCCUACAUUACCCCGAACCCUACCUUCUCCCACAAGGUCUCCUCCCUUCCAAUCACCAUUCCUCAGAUUCGCUCCAACCUCCACCUCCUUCAACCUCAAACCCCUCGUCACUCCCCCCUCACCCUUCGUGACCCGCUCCGCCGCAGCCUCGCCGCAAGAGAGAAAGACCUUCCACGGCCUCUGCUACGUCGUCGGCGACAACAUCGACACCGACCAGAUCAUCCCGGCUGAGUUUCUCACCCUCGUCCCCUCCAACCCGGAGGAAUACCAAAAGCUCGGCUCCCACGCCUUGGUCGGCCUCCCAGCUUCGUACAAGGACCGGUUCGUGGAGCCGGGGGAGACGAAGACGAAGUACUCGAUCAUCAUCGGCGGGGAGAACUUCGGGUGCGGGUCGUCGAGGGAGCACGCGCCGGUGUGCUUGGGAGCGGCGGGGGCGAAGGCGGUGGUGGCGCAGUCGUACGCGAGGAUCUUUUUCAGGAACUCGGUGGCGACCGGGGAGAUUUAUCCGCUGGACUCGGAGGUUAGGGUGUGUGAUGAGUGUAGUACGGGGGAUGUCGCGACGGUGGAGCUGAGGGAAGGGGAUAGUGUUUUGAUUAAUCAUACGACGGGGAAGGAGUAUAAGCUUAAGGCUAUUGGUGACGCUGGGCCUGUGAUUGAUGCUGGUGGUAUCUUUGCGUAUGCGAGGAAGGCUGGGAUGAUUCCUUCUGCAGCUGCUUGAUUUGAUUUCUCCGACAGGGACCGGACCAUGCAUGUCGAUGAGAGUUGAUCUUAAGCUACGUUCAGAAGUCGAAAGUGUGUGUUCCCAGUCAAGUGUAUCAAGCACCCUUUUCCCCUCUUUGAUUUUCCCUGUGCACAACAUCAAUAUAGCACAAAGGUACGUGCCUUUGUCAUAUUUUCCUUUGGCCGAGCGGCAUAGGUGUCUGAGGCCUUUGACUCGCCGUUUACGGAAGAAAAACUGAUUGAUCCCCUCAAUAUAGUGUGCCUCCGGAUUGUUGUGUUCUAAGCACGACCUCAUUAAGUACGUGUGUUGUUCCUCCAUCCGGAGUGGUUCAGAUGCAAAAUACUUUAGGCUUAGGUUGCAGAAAUAGGAUGCAGGUUCUGCGUCCGAACUGUCUCCAUCUGAUGUAUCGUCGCUUUGUUUGAUCUCCGGCUCGGAUUCCAAAGUAAUGGAAACGUCCUUAGAACCUUGUUGAGAUGAAGAAUCACGGAGAUCUGGAGAGUUGAGACCUAUCAUCAUCUCAAAGAACUCGGUCAUCAAAAAGAAGUGGUAACAUUCUGAGCAUGCUGUGUUGAUCUCUGGAGGAUGGCACUGAUGAUCUGGCUUCAUCUUGGUAAAGGAUGUUACGUAGAUAUCCUUCACGUUGUGGUCCAGGCGGUCCAGAGAGAGCGGGAAUUCUUUGAUGCAGUUUUCCACUGCUUUAAUACCCUUCUCAUCGGUCAAUUUGUUGAUGAUUCUUACUCCUUUCUCAGUUUGGCCGAUGGCCAUGAGGAGAACUCCAUUAACGUACCUUCCUUGGAGGUGACCAGCCUUUGAUGCUAUGCGGAGGUGAUGCAUACCCAAGAAUUGAUUUCGAGAGUCAGAAGUACUUGAGCACACCUGUAAGGAAGGUACAUUAAAUGCCACACAUGAUAACAAAACAAAGUAGUCAACCUGAAGCAUACCUGUCACAAAGUUAGCAUCAACGUUAUUGGCGCUGAAGCAGCUGUUCAUCAACGAUCUGUAUCUCUUUGCUAGGGCUGGUUUCUUGACCAAUGGCGAGAGGUUGAGAACCUUAGCAAUAAAGUGAUUGUCAAAAUGAAAGUAGAGGCUUUUGGACGCGACGAUCGCAUUGAAGUAGUCCAAUGCAGAGCUAGCCCCCACCUUAGAAACAAUGACCAUGCGCAGGUCUUCUGGCAUGGUGUCAAGAGUCUGCUUCUUUGCUCUUUUCUGAUCCAUGGGACUGGUGUGAGAUUUGUGAGUUGUGUUUGUAUGGGAAGAUGUUUCGGUAAGGUGCUUGGUUCACACGUCUAUUUAUGAAGGAACUAAGAGCAGCGGUGACUGUUUAGUUUUUACUGUGUUAGUGGAAGGUAACGCAUGUUGCUGUAAUUAUUCGACAUUAAUAUCUAUUAUGUUGAUUGGUAAAGCUUUUGUGUGAAUGUUUUAUGUAAUCUGAAGGGGCUGAUUACAACAGGCUAUUUUUCCAAUUCUGUGAACACUCCUAACUCUAGUUUAUGAGCUUAGUUUUUUUAAAAGUAUAUUCCAAGCCA